GAGUUUUGAUUUUAGAUGUUACUUAUUAUGGAUAAUUUUAUAUUUAUUUGUCUGUUUCGUGAUUCUCGUGAACGACGGAUGAUACCACCUGCGACACCACGAACUUUAAAAUGCAGGUAACAUCUGUGAUACGUGGAAUGAAUAUCAAACUACAUACGCUCGCCGCGGUGUGCCGCUACGUGUUAGGUGAAAAUGGUCUAUUUCUGUAUGAGGAAUAACGAGGGUAUCUUAUCUAUGAUAACAUCGCACGAUAACAAAUUUAUCAAAUAAUUUAAAAAUAAACAUUGGUGUUUAAAUUGUUUGUUCGAUCAAUUAAACAUCGUAAUAGUAUCUAUAAAACUUAUUACUUACACUGAUAAUUUAAUCGAAGAAAUUCCGUUUUCACAUUAUUUAUCAGAAGAUCUAUUUUAUCGUCUUUAAGGUAUUAUUACACGAAUAUAAUAUUUAUAAAAAAAAGGACAUCUUUGGUUGUCCCUUCGCAAAAAUGUUUUCGGAAAUCGAAAACAAAGAACGUGACUCGUUUCUUUAAAUAAACCAACGAUACCCGGACACGGACAUUAGCUGCAUAAAAAAUGUAGCCCACCCGCACGCGUUUUAUCCCAGUUACAUCUACGUGCAUCUGGCAAGUGACCAAUGCCGUUAGAAAAACGGAAGGCUUUCAGCGCGUCCUUUGUAGGUUAUUCUCACGUUUCGUACUUGAAAAAAUAAUUUUGUUAAAGAAUAGUGACGUUUUACUGUUGUACGAGAGCUUGCACACCGUUUGUCCGCGUUCUAAUUGCUACAGAUAAUUAUCUCAAACAAUUUCACUCGGACGUUUAUACAACGCGAACAGAGUAUUCUCAUUUCAUAGCACUUUAAGCUCAAGUGGCGAGAUCUUUCCUUGGUUAACGAUCUUGCAAAGUUAUGGAGGAAUUUAACCAGCGUCUUCAGGACCGUAGUGGCUUGUUUUCAGCGUAAAAAGAACACCGUAAAGCGAACAGGCAAUGUGGGACGUGAAAUUGAUGAACAGGUUUUCGUGGUAAAUCUACAAAGGAGUUCUCUACGUGGCGAACAUCUGCGAAGUUCCUAUGUAUUCGAUAUUCUGAUCGGUUAGCGUUUUCGAUAUAAACAGCUAACGUCACGGCUAGUACAAGUAAGGUCGUUUCGCGGCGAACUUUGGCGAAUGCGAUAUACGUAUCCGCGUUCUUCAAAUACAAAUACACGGUUGUGAAUGCGGUUAAUAAAGCGGAUGACAUAAUGUUGAAGAAUUUAUUGCGCAAAUUUAUUGUGUAAUGACAUAAAUCUUCUGCGUUGAAAGUAAAGAUUCAGAUCUCUUCACCUGUGACACUGUGCUAUUUGCGUGUGAUACCAAAGGCCAAGAAUGAAAAAUAAAAUAAACUCGUGUAGGGACAAAGGAUUAAAGUACGUAUAUAUAUUUUUGUAACAUUUUAUUAAUUUCAGUCCAAAUUUGUUCCUGCAAGAAAGACCGUUUCAUUGUGAAAACUUCAAAGUGUUUUAAAUUGUAAUUUUGCGUAAAUUCUUUUUAUAGUUUUCACGAAAAAGUAGAUUCCUAAUAUUAUAGGUUAUGUUAUUACUUCCAUAUCUCUUUUUAAUAAAGUUUUUUUCUGCGGAAUAUGUAUGAAUUAUUUUGUUAAUUAAAACUGAACAAAGAUUACUUGGAAUAGGAGAAAAUGAAAGACUGGUCAUUUGAAAGCAAUUUAAAAUAAGAGUUUUUAUUUUAUAUUGACACUAUAUGUAUCACUCCAAAGUAACUUUUUAUUCUAAUUAAUUGUUUAAACAAAUGGCGAUAAAAAUUAAGUUUUAAUUACGUUUGACACAACUGUUCCGUGUCUUUAUGAAAUUUCUGAUAUCUGAAAUGAAAACAGAGCAGCAUAUCCUUAAGAUUGAUAGUUUCGACAAGUAAAGAAUAAAGUAAACAGGUAAAGAUAUGCACUAGUUGAACGUACA